GAGGGUCACCCUUGCUCUCUCUUCUCUCUCCCUCUCCCCCGUGCGUCCCGCCCUGCACGCCGCUGCUGCUCCCUAGCCAUCACACCUCUCCUCCCUGGCCGAUCUCACUCCUUAUCCCAAUCCAAAGAUGAUGAGGCAUCUGUCUCGGGUAUUGGGGCCGUUGGAUUCUGGUUCUACGCCUCCUCCUCCGUGCAGCUGCUCUGCUCGACCUCUUCAUCGUCGUGGGUGUAGCCAAGCGUCCAUCCAGUUGCAGCUCAGCUUCAGUUCUGUUCUCUGUGCCUACAAGGUGUUUGAUGAAAUGCAAAAAGGCUGACAGGGGAGCAUUGAUCUAUGAAGCGAUUUGUGGCGGGGGAAGCACGGAUUUCGUGCACUAAGGAGGAAGGAGAAGGGCGUGGGAGGCGAGAGAUGUAGGGGAUCAAGAGUGGAUCGAGAGCACUGACUCUAUCGCUCGCUGUGGGCUGCAAGGGGCGUAAAAUCCUUGUGUGGUGUGCUGCGGUGGGGCGAUUGACAAAGCGCCUGUUCCCCUCUCUCUCCCCCUUUCUCUCCCCUCCAGCUGUGAUUUGGCUGAUGUGGAAUGGUUUAUAGCUAGCUGUGUCAGAUCUAUUAUACUUGCUCUUAUGAGGCGUGGUUGUUCUUUCUCAGUUUAUGUCUUUCCUAAAGUUGCUGAAAAAAGAUGUCAAUAUUUGCUAAAAAAAUGUUGCUUAAAGAGUCUGAGAUUGAAUACUGAACUCUCCCAAAUGGGGAAAUCAUUGAAUUGAAGAAACUUGCUGAAAAUUUGGCCCUUCCACGAGAUAAAGAUUUUUUGCAAUUUAGGUACUGAAGAAGAUCGAGAUGUUUUUAUUUGUAUUUGUCUCAUGGGUUCUUAUUUAUAUUUAGGGCAUGUACUGGCAAGGGAGAAGCGACCUCACCUUCAACGGCAUCACAAUCAGGAAAUGGUGACCCCGAGGCCAACUAGGUAGUAGCUCGGUUACAACUACAUCCAUCUCCAUUCGAAAAUCUUACCUCCAGUGUUGGAGCCACACUGCUAUGUCAUUCCGAGCCCAAAUUUGAGCCGGAAUAAAUUUCUUCAUUUUACUGCUUCUCUUUGUCAGAUUACUCACAUAUGCAUCCUUAGUUUGUUAAUGAUCUUAUUAUCCCCGUAAUGAGGCAAAUCCACUCAAUAUUUACUGUCCCAAAACAAAAGAAAUAAUAGAUGGGAAACCAUUGUCUCCAAUUCUUGUGCCCUGGUGAUUGCUUCAAAUGGUUCGCCCCUUGUUCUGCUCGCGUUGCUGCUGUUCUUGUGCCAGUGCUGCCGCCACGGAGGGCUGCUUUGGUUGGUUGAUCAAUUCAUGGUUGUUGUCUUUGCCACCGAAUCCACGUGGGGUUUGGGGGUAGGCGGCUUCGGGUCCCAUGUUAUGCUCACACAUUUCUGGCUGGGGUUUGCAUGUUGCGCGUGGGUGCCGGUGCAGAGCUCCUCCAUGACAGCAUCCUCCUCGCCAUUCUGCCGGUGCAGAGCCUCCUCCAUGACAGCAUCCACCGGAUCCGGCCGGCCCAGAUCCACACACCUCCUCCUUCCUUGGCAGCUCAUGGAGUCCCCCUCAUGCGUCAACAACGCGCGACUGCACUCGGUCUUGCUUCCCGCCGUCCCGCCGACGAGGCCCACCGCAUGCCACACACCAACGUCAUCUUCGUGGCGGUAGAGGCGCAGCUCGGGGCUGGGGACCCUGCCGCGUGUGGGCGCGCCGGUGCCGGCGUCGUCUCCAUGAAUCAGGUGGCCAAAAUCGGCAGCUACAACAUCCCCAACCUAUCUGUGACCAUGAAAUCAUAGGUAUUGGGUCAAGAGGUACUCAUUACUGAGGUAGGUUUGUACUAACAAUGUUGUUUUUUGACGAAUGUCUACCGCUGCGGCACUGACCUCGAUGGCGUGCCACUUCAUUUUCAGCCCAACCCCAACAUUUCCCUCGUCACAUACUGUAGAUUCAAGGGAAUUUAUAAAAUUUAUGCAUUCUAUCUUCACUUUAAGAAUUGCCUUUUAUGUUAUUUGAUUGCUUGACAUGCUUAAAUUCAGUAACUCGAUCCUCUCUGAAUGCUCCUAAGCCUUUCCAAUGUGUUACUGUAGACCUUCUAUCUCAACCAAGAAUUGAAGAAAACAUGACUCACAACCAA